rnacentral:pre_miRNA from 1 species
CUGUGUGGCCCAGAAAGCAAAGGCUGAGGGCAUCUCCACCAUGGCCUGGGCCCUGCUCUUCCUCACCCUCCUCGCUCACUAUACAGGUGA